rnacentral:sRNA from 2 species
CUCUGCCGCUUCCCGGAUUCCGCUUGAGCAAAGGCAGAGGCGGGGGACCCAACCGUCCCGGGCAUUGACUGCCCUUGGGGUUAAGCCAGCACGUGAUCUUUCCGUGUGGCCGGAUGCCCUCAUCCGAACCCGACAGCUAACUCCGCAGGUGUGAGAGGCGAU